rnacentral:rRNA from 1 species
AUCAUAAAAGACAGGGUAGAGGUAGAAACUAUCAGUUCUUUUUUGAAAUUAGAAUUAUUAAAAGAAGUCUAUGGACCGAUAUCAAUUCUACCCAUUUUGACCUUCCUUUUGGGAAUAAGAACAAAGGUACUCGUAAUUGUGUGGUUAGAAAGAGACAUAGCUGUGUUGAUACAACAAUGUAUUGGUCCUGAAUAUGUUGGCCACCAACAUGCUCAAGCUAUAGCAGAUGGGACUAAGCUACUUUUUAAAGAAGAUGCACUGCCAUCCCAAGGAGAUAUUUAUUUAUCUAGCAUUGGACCCUCUAUAGUUGUCAUAUCAGUUAUUAAUUUUUUUAUUAUCCCUUCGGGAUAUCAUCUUGUUUUAGCUGGUCUUAGUAUUGGUUUUUUUUAUGGAUUGCCACGGCAACACGCACAAGCCUAG